rnacentral:rRNA from 1 species
UACGUAGGGGGCUAGCGUUGUCCGGAAUCAUUGGGCGUAAAGAGCGCGUAGGCGGCCAGAUAAGUCCGGCGUGAAAGUCAAAGGCUCAACCUUUGAAUGCCGCUGGAAACUGUCUGGCUAGAGUCCGGGAGGGGCGAGUGGAAUUCCUGGUGUAGCGGUGAAAUGCGCAGAUAUCAGGAGGAACACCAAUUGCGAAGGCAGCUCGCUGGGACGUUACUGACGCUGAGACGCGAAAGCGUGGGGAGCAAACAGG